CCAAUAGCGUAUAUUAAAGUUGUUGCAGUUAAAAAGCUCGUAGUUGAAUUUCGGGAUCAGUACGCUGGUCAUGCCUUUGGUAUGCACUGGUGUCACUGGUUUCUCCCUUCUGACGAUCCGUGAUGUCAUUAAUUUGGUGUCGCGGGGAAUCAGGACUGUUACUUUGAAAAAAUUAGAGUGUUUAAAGCAGGCUCACGCUUGAAUACAUUAGCAUGGAAUAAUGAAAUAGGACGUUUGACCCUAUUUUGUUGGUUUCUAGGAUCGACGUAAUGAUUAAUAGGGAUAGUUGGGGGCAUUAGUAUUCAAUUGUCAGAGGUGAAAUUCUUGGAUUUAUUGAAGACUAACUACUGCGAAAGCAUUUGCCAAGGAUGUUUUCAUUAAUCAAGAACGAAAGUUAGGGGAUCGAAGACGAUCAGAUACCGUCGUAGUCUUAACCAUAAACUAUGCCGACUAGGGAUCGGAUGAUGUUAAUUUUAUAAUGACUCAUUCGGCGCCUUACG
rnacentral:rRNA from 1 species